CCACAAUGCAACAUGGUUUUCAGCUUUCUCACUAAAACUCAGAAAAAGACAAAAGAUACCAAACUGAAAUCAUAUUUGGAAAGAAGGAAAUGGAGGAAAUAUAUAGCAAUGCCCAUCAGAAACCAGAAGGUAAAUCAGAAAAAAAAAAAACACUUGUAAAAUUAGAGGAAAAUAAUUUCUUCAUACAUGAAUUAAAGGUCAAAAUCACCUCAAGCAUACUCAUAUAAUAAGGAUGAAAUGAAGCAAAUGAUCGGGCUACA